UACGAAGGGGGCUAGCGUUGUUCGGAAUUACUGGGCGUAAAGCGCGCGCAGGCGGUUCUUCAAGUCAGAGGUGAAAGCCCAGAGCUCAACUCUGGAAUGGCCUUUGAGACUAGAGAACUAGGGUACGGGAGAGGUGAGUGGAAUUCCGAGUGUAGAGGUGAAAUUCGUAGAUAUUCGGAAGAACACCAGUGGCGAAGGUGGCUCACUGGCCCGUUACCGACGCUCAGGCGCGACAGCGUGGGGAGCAAACAGG
rnacentral:rRNA from 1 species